AUGAUUCCGGCAGCCGCGUUGACGGUGUUGCUCCUGCAGCUCUGCCUCCCAAUGGCGGCGGCUCAGGUUACCCCAGGCGCAGGGACGCCGCCGCCGCGCUGCCCGACCAGCUGCGGCGGCGUGAAAGUGCCGUACCCAUUCGGCAUCGGGAACGGAUGCCACCGGCCAGGAUUCAACCUCACCUGUGACCGGACGCGCGGCAGAGAGCCGCGGUUGCUCGUCGGCAGCGACCUCCAGGUCGUGGAGAUCUCUCUGGCCAACUCCACGGUGAGAAUCUUGGACAGGGCCGGCCAGGUCAAGCUCACCUUCUCCGAGGGCCUCGAUGGCAACGGGACAUGGGGCGGCCUCGGCGCCGGCGGCCCUUACGUGCUCUCGGAGAUGCGCAACCACUUCGUCGUUACGGGGUGCAACGUGCAGGCCACGCUGGUCGGGAACGGCGGGGUCGUAGGCUGCUGCUCCUCCUUCUGCUCCAUCAACGACAAGUGGACGGGCGUCGUGACGAGCUCCGCUGGCUACGGCGGCGCCGCCUGCUCUGGCAUCGGCUGCUGCGAGACGCCCAUCCCCAUAGGCCGCCCUUCCUACGACGUGGAGAUGAGGUCGCUGGAUGCGAGCAACGAGUACGCCGACAGGCUGCCCAUCGCGGUGCGCAUCGCCGAGAGAGGGUGGUUCGAAGGCGCCUCCACCACGCUCCUCAACGACUCAACCGGGUACUCGCCCUCCCGCCAGCCGGCUGUGCCCGUCGUCCUCGACUUUGCGGUGGAUUCCAAGCCGGUGGUGCUGCCAGGGGUGGCAACGUCGGGCUGCCCUGUGGACGCACGAAGGAGCGCGUGCCAGAGCAGCCAUGCUUCCUGCCAUAACGUCUCCGGCAUGUACCGCAGCGGCUACGUGUGCCGGUGCCUAGACGGGUACCAAGGCAACCCAUACCUCACAGGCGGAUGCCAAGACAUCGAUGAGUGCGCGCUUCCGGGCAUGUGCUUCGGUGAGUGCACCAACACGGCCGGAGGACACCUAUGCCGGUGCCCGCGUGGCGCCCAAGGUGACCCGCUCAUAAGAAAUGGCUGCAUAAAAUCUUCUCUAGGUUUAAGUGUGGGCAUAGGAGUUGGCAGUGGGGCCAGCCUUCUACUCAUGGUACUUGGUGCUAUUUUGGUGUCCCGAAAGAUGAAGCAACGAAGGGCAGAAAUGCUCAAGAAGAGAUUCUUCAGGCAAAAUCGGGGGCAUCUGUUGCAACAAUUGGUGUCUCAGAAGGCGGACAUUGCCGAGAGGAUGAUCGUCCCCUUGGUGGAACUACAAAAGGCCACAAACAGUUUCGACAAAGCUCGUGAGAUCGGUGGAGGAGGGCACGGAACGGUUUACAAAGGCAUCAUGUCAGACCUGCAUGUCGUGGCGAUCAAGAAGUCCAAGGUCGCGAUUCAGAGGGAGAUUGACGAGUUCAUAAAUGAGGUGGCCAUCCUCUCGCAGAUCAACCACCGAAACGUGGUGAAGCUCUUUGGGUGCUGCCUUGAGACGGAGGUGCCGCUGCUGGUGUACGAGUUCAUCUCCAAUGGGACCCUCUACCAUCAUCUUCAUGUCCAGGAACCAGCGCCAUCCCUAACAUGGGAAGAUAGGCUAAGGAUCGCAACCGAAACUGCGAGAGCUCUCGGCUACCUUCACUCGGCGGUGUCCUUUCCUAUAGUCCACAGGGAUAUCAAGUCCCAAAACAUUCUGUUAGAUGGCAGUCUCAUAGCAAAGGUGUCAGACUUUGGAGCUUCGAGGUGCAUUCAAGUCGAUCAAACAGAGACCGCAACCGCUAUCCAAGGGACAUUUGGGUACCUGGACCCAUUGUACUUCUACUCGGGACAGCUCACCGAGAAGAGCGACGUUUACAGCUUCGGCGUCCUCCUCAUGGAGCUUCUCACUAGGAAAAAACCAUGCUCAUAUCGGUCAUCCGAGGAGGAAGCCCUUGUCACAUACUUUGCCGCUUCGCUAGCAGCAGACAAGCUGGUUCGCGUGCUAGAUCCUCAGGUCGUGAAAGAAGGCGGCAAGGAGGUUGAAGAAGUAGCUGUGUUGGCAGUGGCAUGUGUGAGGAUUGAAGUAGACCAGCGGCCAACCAUGAGGCAAGUGGAGAUGACACUUGAGAACCUUGGGGGCUCGCAUGAUAGCUUUGUAAUGCAUGACCUGGAUGUGCCCAAGUAUCCAAUGAUUGAGGGUACGAACAUGGAGGAAACAAGCCAGCAGUAUAGCUAUGAAGCAGAGUAUUUGUUGUCAUCAAGGUACCCCCGGUAG
rnacentral:rRNA from 1 species